rnacentral:rRNA from 1 species
AUAUUGACUGUGCUAAGGUAGCAUAAUAAUUUGUCUUUUAAUUGGAGGCUGGAAUGAAGGAUUCGACGAGAGAUGUACUGUCUUAGAGGGUAACAAUGAACUUUACUUAAAGGUAAGAAGGCCUUUAUUUUCUAAAGGGACGAUAAGACCCUAUAAAGCUUUACUUAAACAAAAUUGAGUUUAUAAAGGCUUGAUUAAUUUGUAUGAGUUAUGCUGGGGUGGCAAGAAAUGAAACGGUUUUUAUGACAACGAGUUGGGCGGAUAUGAUAAACGUUAACUUAAAACUUAAUAACAAGUUACUUUAGGGAUAACAGCGUAAUUCUUUUUGAAAGACCCUAUUGGCGAAAGAGAUUGCGACCUCGAUGUUGAAUUGAAUAACUAACUUUGGGCAGCACUAAAGAAGUAGGA